UAACCUGCCCAAGAGAUCGGGAUAACACCUGGAAACAGAUGCUAAUACCGGAUAACAACAGAUGAUGCCUAUCAACUGUUUAAAAGAUGGUUCUGCUAUCACUCUUGGAUGGACCUGCGGUGCAUUAGCUAGUUGGUAGGGUAACGGCCUACCAAGGCGAUGAUGCAUAGCCGAGUUGAGAGGCUGAUCGGCCACAUUGGGACUGAGACACGGCCCAAACUCCUACGGGAGGCAGCAGUU
rnacentral:rRNA from 1 species